UAUUUGUGUACUUGUGUGCGAGUUAAAUCCAUGUGCAGUAAAUUAGAAGGAAUUUUCACACAUAUUUGUCUCGCGGCAUGGACACAUGUAUAUGUAUGCAUGGAGUGACAUGGCAUUUUAAUUCCAAAAAAUUAAAAAAUAUCAUAAACACAUGAAACAUUGGUUGAUGUAAUGUCAUGCCACCAAGAUGAUGUGGUAAAAAAAUUGGCAUGUUUGACGAUAGUUUGGACACAAACCCAUCACAAACGGGAGCAACUCACUUGAAGGCUCGUGGUUCCAACAGGGAACAAUGCAUGUUUGAUGACGAAUGGGAGAUAGCUUCCUCUUACGGCCUUCAGUUUUUUCUACGUCUAACGUACACUACUACAACUGUAAUGUGAAAUUUUGGAAAAUUCUAGGGGUCAUUUGACCUUUUAAAGACAUUUAAGUGAUUUUCUAGCCAUUUAAUGACCGUAAUUCAAAUUUAAACUACAUCUACAUGGAACGGCUAACCAAAACGGUUUGAAAAAUCAUGUUUGUUUACUUAUGUGCGAGUUAAUUCUAUGUGCAGUAAAUUAAAAGGAAUUUUCAAACAUAUGUGUCUCACGACAUGGACACAUGCAUACGUAUGCAUGGAGUGACAUGGCAUUUUAAUUCCAAAAAACUUAAAAAAAACAGGAACACAUGAAACCUUGGUUGAUGUAAUGUCAUGCCACCAAGAUGAUGUGGUAAAAAAUUGGCAUGUUUGACGAAAGUUUGGACACACACCCCUCACAAAUCGGAGCAACUCACUAGGAGGCUCGUUGUUCCGAGUGGGAGCAAUGCAUGUUUGAUGACGAACGUGAGAUAGUUUCCUCUUACGGCCUUCAAUUAUUUUUCAUCGUCUAACGUGCACUACUACAACUGUAAUGUGAAAUUUUGGAAAAAUCUAGGGGUCAUUUGACCUUUUAAAGACAUUUAAGUGAUUUUCUAGCCAUUUAAUGACCGUAAUUCAAAUUUGAACUGCAUCUACAUGCAACUCCUAACCAAAACGGUUUGAAAAAUCAUAUUUGUGUACUUGUGUGCGAGUUAAUUCUAUGUACAUUAAAUUAGAAGGAAUUUUCAAACAUAUUUGUCUAACGAGAUUGCCACAUGCAUACGUAUGCAUGGAGUGACAUGGCACUUUAAUUCCAAAAAAAUUAAAAAAUAUCAGAAACACAUGAAACCUUGGUUCAUGUAAGAUCAUGCCACCAAGAUGAUGUGGUAAAAAAUGGCAUGUUUGACGAAAGUUUGGACACAAACCCUUCACAAACCGAAGCAACUCACUAGAAGGCUCGUGGUUCCAAGGGGGAACAAUGCAUGUUUGAUGACGAACGGGGGAUAGCUUCCUCGUAAGGCCUUCAAUUUUUUUACGUUUAACGUGCACUACUACAACUGUAAUAAGAAAUUUUGGAAAAUUAUAGGGGUCAUUUGACCUUUUAAAGUCGUUUAAGUGAUUUUCUAGCCAUUUAAUGACCGUAAUUCCAAUUUGAACUACAUCUACAUGCAAUGGCUAACAAAAACGGUUUGAAAAAUCAUUUUUGUGUACUUGUGUGCGAGUUAAUUCCAUGUGCAGUAAAUUAGAAGGAAUUUUCAAACAUAUUUGUCUCACGACAUGGACACAUGCAUACGUAUGCAUGGAGUGACAUGGCAUUUUAAUUCCAAAAAAUAAAAAAAUAUCAGAAACACAUGAAACCUUGGUUGAUGUAAUGUCAUGCCACCAAGAUGAUGUGGUAAAAAAAUGCCAUGUUUGACGAAAGGUUGGACACACACCCGUCACAAACCGGAGCAACUCACUAGAAGGAUGGUGGUUCCGAGAGGGAACAAUGCAUGUUUGAUGACGAAUGGGAGAUAGUUUCCUCUUACGGCCUUCAAUUUUUUUCUACGUCUAAUGUGCACUACUACAACUGUACUGUGAAAUCUUGGAAAAUUCAAGGGGUCAUUUAAACUUUUUAAGACAUUUAAGUGAUUUCCUAGCCAUUUAAUGACCGUAAUUAAAAUUUAAACAACAUCUACAUGCAAUGGACCAAAACGGUUUGAAAAAUCAUAUUUGUGUACUUGUGUGCAUGCGUAUGCAUGGAGUGACAUGGCACUUUAAUUCCAAAAAAAUUAAAAAAUAUCAGAAACACAUGAAACCUUGGUUAAUGUAAUGUCAUGCCACCAAGAUGAUGUGGUAAAAAAAUGGCAUGUUUGACGAAAAUUUGGACACAAACCCCUCACAAAUGGGAGCAACUCACUAGAAGGCUCGUGGUUCCGCGAGGGAGCAUUGCAUGUUUGAUGACGAAGGUGAGAUAGUUUCCUCUUACGGCCUUCAAUUUUUAUCCACGUCUUACGUGCACUACUACAACUGUAAUGUGAAAUUUUGGAAAAAAUCUAGGGGUCAUUUGACCUUAAAGACAUUUAAGUGAUUUUCUAGCCAUUUAAUGACCGUAAUUCAAAUUUGAACUACAUCUACAUGCAAGGGCUAACCAAAACGGUUUGAAAAAUCAGAUUUGUGUACGUGUGUUUGAGUUAAUUCCAUGUACAAUAAAUUAGAAGGAAUUUUCAAACAUAUUUUUCUAACGAGAUGGACACAUGCAUACGUAUGCAUGGAGUGACAUGGCACUUUAAUUCCAAAAAAAUUAAAAAAUAUCAGAAACACAUGAAACCUUGGUUAAUGUAAUGUCAUGCCACCAAGAUGAUGUGGUAAAAAAAUGGCAUGUUUGACGAAAAUUUGGACACAAACCCUUCAGAAACCGAAGCAACUCACUAGAAGGCUCGUGGUUCCGAGGGGGAACAAUGCAUGUUUGAUGACGAACGGGAGAUAGCUUCCUCUUACGGCCUUCAAUUUUUUUCUAGGGGUCAUUUGACCUUUUGGAAAAUUGGCAUGUUUGACGAAAGUUUGGACACACACCCCUCACAAAUCGUGGCAACUCACUAGGAGGCUCGUUGUUCCGAGAGGGAGCAAUGCAUGUUUGAUGACGAACGUGAGAUAGUUUCCUCUUACGACCUUCAAUAUUUUAUCUACGUCUAACGUCCACUACUACAACUGUAAUCUGAAAUUUUGGCAAAUUAUAGGGGUCAUUUGACCUUUUAAAGACAUUUAACUGAUUUUAUAGCCAUUUAAUGACCGUAAUUCAAAUCUGAACUACAUCUACAUGGAACGGCUAACCAAAACGGUUUGAAAAAUAAUAUUUGUGUACUUGUGUGCGAGUUAAUUCCAUGUACAUUAAAUUAGAAGGAAUUUUCAAACAUAUUUGUCUAACGAGAUGGACACAUGCAUACGUAUGCAUGGAGUGACAUGGCAAUUUAUUUCCAAUAAAAUUAAAAAAUAUCAGAAACACAUGAAACCUUGGUUAAUGUAAUGUCAUGCCACCUAGAUGAUGUGAUGAAAAAAUGGAAUGUUUGACGAAAGUUUGGACACGAACCGAAGUAACUGACUAGAAAGCUCGUGGUUCCGAGGGGGAACAAUGCAUGUUUGAUGAUGAACGGGAGAUAGCUUCCUCUUACGGCCUUCAAUUUUUUUCUACGUUUAACGUGCACUACUACAACUGUAAUGUGAAAUUUUGGAAAUUUCUAGGGGUCAUUUGAGCUUUUAAAGACAUUUAAGUGAGUUUCUAGCCAUUUAAUGACCGUAAUUCAAAUUUGAACUAAAUCUACAUGCAACGGCUAACCAAAACGGUUUGAAAAAUCAUAUUUGUGUACUUGUGUGCGAGUUAAUUCCAUGUGCAGUAAAUUAGAAGGAAUUUUCAGACAUAUUUGUCUCGCGACAUGGACACAUGCAUAUGUAUGCAUGGAGUGCCAUGGCAUUUUAAUUCCAAAAAUUAAAAAAAAUCAGAAACACAUGAAACCUUGGUUGAUGUAAUGUCAUGCCACCAAGAUGAUGUGGUAAAAAAUUGGCAUGUUUGACGAAAGUUUGGACACACACCCCUCACAAAUCGUGGCAACUCACUAGGAGGCUCGUUGUUCCGAGAGGGAGCAAUGCAUGUUUGAUGACGAACGUGAGAUAGUUUCCUCUUACGGCCUUCAAUAUUUUAUCUACGUCUAACGUCCACUACUACAACUGUAAUCUGAAAUUUUGGCAAAUUAUAGGGGUCAUUUGACCUUUUAAAGACAUUUAACUGAUUUUAUAGCCAUUUAAUGACCGUAAUUCAAAUCUGAACUACAUCUACAUGGAACGGCUAACCAAAACGGUUUGAAAAAUAAUAUUUGUGUACUUGUGUGCGAGUUAAUUCCAUGUACAUUAAAUUAGAAGGAAUUUUCAAACAUAUUUGUCUAACGAGAUGGACACAUGCAUACGUAUGCAUGGAGUGACAUGGCAAUUUAUUUCCAAUAAAAUUAAAAAAUAUCAGAAACACAUGAAACCUUGGUUGAUGUAAUGUCAUGCCACCAAGAUGAUGUGGUAAAAAAUUGGCAUGUUUGACGAAAGUUUGGACACACACCCCUCACAAAUCGUGGCAACUCACUAGGAGGCUCGUUGUUCCGAGAGGGAGCAAUGCAUGUUUGAUGACGAACGUGAGAUAGUUUCCUCUUACGGCCUUCAAUAUUUUAUCUACGUCUAACGUCCACUACUACAACUGUAAUCUGAAAUUUUGGCAAAUUAUAGGGGUCAUUUGACCUUUUAAAGACAUUUAACUGAUUUUAUAGCCAUUUAAUGACCGUAAUUCAAAUCUGAACUACAUCUACAUGGAACGGCUAACCAAAACGGUUUGAAAAAUAAUAUUUGUGUACUUGUGUGCGAGUUAAUUCCAUGUACAUUAAAUUAGAAGGAAUUUUCAAACAUAUUUGUCUAACGAGAUGGACACAUGCAUACGUAUGCAUGGAGUGACAUGGCAAUUUAUUUCCAAUAAAAUUAAAAAAUAUCAGAAACACAUGAAACCUUGGUUAAUGUAAUGUCAUGCCACCAAGAUGAUGUGGUAAAAAAUGGCAUGUUUGACGAAAGUUUGGACACAAACCCUUCACAAACCGAAGCAACUCACUAGAAGGCUCGUGGUUCCGAGGGGGAACAAUGUAUGUUUGAUGACGAACGGGAGAUAGCUUCCUCUUACGGCCUUCCAUUUUUUUCUACGUUUAACGUGCACUACUACAACUGUAAUGUGAAAUUUUGGAAAUUUCUGGGGGUCAUUUGACCUUUUAAAGACAUUUAAGUGAUUUUCUAGCCAUUUAAUGACCGUAAUUAAAAUUUGAAAUACAUCUACAUGCAACGGCUAACCAAAACGGUUUGAGAAAUCAUAUUUGUGUACUUGUGUGCAAGUUAAUUCCAUGUGCAGUAAAUUAGAAGAAAUUUUCAAACAUAUUUGUCUCGCGACACGGACACAUGCAUAUGUAUGCAUGGAGUGACAUGGCAUUUUAAUUCCAAAAAAUUAAAAAAAAAUAACAGAAACACAUGAAACCUUGGUUGAUGUAAUGUAAUGCCACCAAGAUGAUGUGGUGAAAAAAUGGCAUGUUUGACGAAAGUUUGGACACAAACCGAAGCAACUCACUAGAAGGCUCGUCGUUCCGAGGGGGAACAAUGCAUGUUUGAUGAUGAACGGGAGAUAGCUUCCUCUUACGGCCUUCAAUUUUUUUCUACGUUUAACGUGCACUACUACAACUAUAAUGUGAAAUUUUGGAAAAUUCUAGGGGUCAUUUGACCUUUUAAAGACAUUUAAGUGAUUUUCUAGCCAUUUAAUGACCGUAAUUCAAAUUUGAACUACAUCUACAUGCAACGGCUAACCAAGAUGGUUUGAAAAAUCAUAUUUGUGUACUUGUGUGCGAGUUAAUUCCAUGUGCAGUAAAUUAGAAGGAAUUUUCAGACAUAUUUGCCUCGCGACAUGGACACAUGCAUAUGUAUGCAUGGAGUGCCAUGGCAUUUUAAUUCCAAAAAAUUAAAAAAAAAACAGAAACACAUGAAACCUUGGUUGAUGUAAUGUCAUGCCACCCAGAUGAUGUGGUAAAAAAUUGGCAUGUUUGACGAAAGUUUGGACGCACACCCCUCACAAAUCGGAGCAACUCACUAAGAGGCUCGUUGUUCCGAGAGGGAGCAAUGCAUGUUUGAUGACGAACGUGAGAUAGUUUCCUCUUACGACCUUAAAUUUUUUAUCUACGUCUAACGUGCACUACUACAACUGUAAUCUGAAAUUUUGGAAAAUUCUAGGGGUCAUUUGACCUUUUAAAGACAUUUAAGUGAUUUUCUAGCCAUUUAAUGGCCGUAAUUCAAAUUUGAACUACAUCUACAUGCAACGGCUAACCAAAACGGUUUGAAAAAUAAUAUUUGUAUACUUGUGUGCGAGUUAAUUCCAUGUACAUUAAAUUAGAAGGAAUUUUCAAACAUAUUUGUCUCACGAGAUGGACACAUGGAUAUGUAUGCAUGGAGUGACAUGGCUAUUUAUUUCCAAUAAAAUUAAAAAAUAUCAGAAACACAUGAAACCUUGGUUAAUGUAAUGUCAUGCCACCAAGAUGAUGUGGUAAAAAAUGGCAUGUUUGACGAAAGUUUGGACACAAACGCUUCACAAACCAAAGCAACUCACUAGAAGGCUCGUGGUUCCGAGGGGGAACAAUGCAUGUUUGAUGACGAACGGGAGAUAGCUUCCUCUUACCGCCUUCAAUUUUUUUCUACGUUUAACGUGCACUACUACAACUGUAAUGUGAAAUUUUGGAAAAUUCUAGGGGUCAUUUGACCUUUUAAAGUCAUUUAAGUGAUUUUCUAGCCAUUUAAUGACCGUAAUUCCAAUUUGAACUACAUCUACAUGCAAUGGCUAACCAAAACUAUUUGAAAAAUCAUAUUUGUGUACUUGUGUGCGAGUUAAUUCCAUGUGCAGUAAAUUAGAAGGAAUUUUCAAACAUAUUUGUCUCACGACAUGGACACAUGCAUACGUAUGCAUGGAGUGACAUGGAAUUUUAAUUCCAAAAAAUAAAAAUAAAUCAGAAACACAUUAAACCUUGGUUGAUGUAAUGUCACCCCACCAAGAUGAUGUGGUAAAAAAUCGGCAUGUUUGACGAAUGGUUGGACACACACCCCUCACAAACCGGAGCAACUCACUAGAAGGCUGGUGGUUCCGAAAGGGAACAAUGCAUGUUUGAUGACGAAUGGGAGAUAGUUUCCUCUUACGGCCUUCAAUUUGUUUCUACAUCUAACGUGCACUACUACAACUGUAAUGUGAAAUUUUGGAAAAUUCUAGGGGUCAUUUGACCUUUUAAUGACAUUUAAAUGAUUUUGUACCCAUUUAAUGACCGUAAUUCAAAUUUGAACUACAUCUACAUGCAACGGCUAACCAAAGCGGUUUGAAAAUUCAUAUUUAUGUACAUGUGUGCGAGUUAAUUCCAUGUGCAGUAAAUUAGAAGGAAUUUUCAAAGAUAUUUGUCUCGCGACAUGGACACAUGCAUAUGUAUGCAUGGAGGGACAUGGCAUUUUAAUUUUAAAAAAUUAAAAAAAUCAGAAACACAUGAAACCUUGGUUGAUGUAAUGUCAUGCCACCAAGAUGAUGUGGCAAAAAAAUUGGCCUGUUUGACGAAAGUUUGGACACACACCCCUCACAAACCGGAGCAACUCCUAGAAGGCUCGUGGUUCCGAGAAGGAACAAUGCAUGUUAGAUGACGAACGGGAGAUGGCUUCCUCUUACGGCCUUCAAUUUUUUUUCUACGUCUAACGUGCACUACUACAACUGUAAUGUGAAAUUUUGGAAAAUUCUAGGGGUCAUUUGACCUUUCAAAGACAUUUAAGUGAUUUUCUAGCCAUUUAAUGACCUUAAUUCAAAUUUGAACUACAUCUACAUGCAACGGUUAACCGAAACGGUUUGAAUAAUCAUAUUUGUGUACUUGUGUGCGAGUUAAUUCCAUCUGCAGUAAAUUAGAAGGAAUUUUCAAACAUAUUUGUCUCGCGACAUGGACACAUGCAUAUGUAUGCAUGGAGUGACAUGGCAUUUUAAUUCCAAAAAAUUAAAAAAAAAUAACAGAAACACAUGAAACCUUGGUUGAUGUAAUGUAAUGCCACCAAGAUGAUGUGGUAAAAAAUUGGCAUGUUUGACGAAAGUUUGGACACACACCCCUCACAAACCGGAGCAACUCACGAGAAGGCUCGUGGUUCCGAUAGGGACAAUGCAUGUUUGAUGACGAACUAGAGAUAGCUUCCUCUUACGGCCUUCAAUUUGUUUCUACGUCUAACGUGCACUACUACAACUGUAAUGUGAAAUUUUGGAAAGUUCCAGGGGUCAUUUGACCUUUUAAAGACAUUUAAUUGAAUUUCUAGCCAUUUAAUGACCGUAAUUCAAAUUUGAACUACAUCUACAUGCAACGUGAUAGAGGCAAAGGUGUCCCGUCUUUCGAUGAGAUGAUGGAUAUCGCUUUGGUGGAAGUCGACUUUGACGAUCCGACUACGAACGUGCGAUGACGUCGCGCCUUAGCAAUCGCUAAGCCAACUCCGAGAGGUUAUUGACCACGCCGGAGCACGAUCAACCUGACCAUGAGGGUCUGUUUCCUGCGAGCAAACGAAGAACAAGCAAGAAACUGAGAUUGCAAUCUGGAUAUUGCGAAUAUAAGAUGAAAGCUUUAUUGAUCAAGGUGGGGUUCUGUGACGCCUUUGUCUGGUCGUUGAACACAAACGAAGUACGCGAAGUUGCAGCUAUGGCGAACUUUUAAUCUAAACAAAACCCAAAGUCUAAACGACGCCCUAAGGGCUGUAUAUAUGGAGGAAGAGGGGGGAAUUUCGUGGCCCUUGGGGAAGGGGCCGAAACCAACCCUAUCUCUUGUUGCCCCACACAUACGGACUCUAAAAAUAGCCUAUACUCAAGUAUUUCGAAAUUACAUGGGCCUGGCCCAAUAAUAAGGUGACGCAGCACCUAGAAUAGCCUCUGGACGAAAGUUAUGAAGUAGCAUCUUGUAUAUUUCGUCCAAGGCUUCAUGCACGCAUUAUGGUGGCUUCAAUGUCCUGAAAUCAUCACUUGUAACUCCGUUCUUGUCCCCCAUGCGCAUGCCAUCAUCUCCAUGCUUGUUCUUGCUCCAAUGUUCAUCCUUCUCAAAGCUAGGCCCUUCAUUUGUAAGCAAAACAAAUGUAUCCAAUUUAGGCAGCAUCAUAUUCUCAUGAACAUUAGAAUCAUUACCAAGAAACGAAAGUACCUGGUAAUUUAAUUGGCGUGCGCGAGCUCUAGUAAUUGGUCUAGUAUGUAUAGCAGCAGGGGCUGUGGGUGUAACCAUGGUAUUGAUGUCCUCAUCAUCCUCCCCUUCUUGAAAUGAAGUCGUCCUCGACGGAAGCUCAUCUCCCUCACCCAAAUAAGGCUUCAAAUCUGCAAUGUUUAAAGUGGGACUAACCCCAAAAUCUGCAGGCAGCUCAAGUUUAUAUGCAUUAUCAUUUAUUUUCUCUAACACCUUAAAAGGACCAUCAGCACGUGGCAUUAGCUUUGAUUUGCGCAAAUCAGGAAAUCUAUCCGUACGCAAAUGUAACCAAACAAGAUCUCCAGGUGCAAACACAACAUGUUUUCUACCCUUAUCUCCAGCAAGUUUAUAUUUAGCAUUCGUACGCUCAAUGUUUUCCUUAGUUAAGUCAUGCAUUUUUAAAAUCAAUCCAGCACGUUGUUUAGCAUCAAAAUUAACCUCCUCCGAAGAUGGAAGAGGCAACAAAUCAAUAGGUGCACAAGGGAGGAAACCAUACACAAUUUCAAAAGGGCACAUCUUAGUAGUAGAAUGCAAUGAACGAUUAUAAGCAAACUCAAUAUGAGGCAAGCAUUCUUCCCACAUUUUCUUAUUAUUCUUCAAAACAGCCCUAAGCAUAGUAGACAAUGUUCUAUUGACUACUUCAGUUUGUCCAUCAGUUUGGGGGUGACAAGUAGUACUAAAAAGCAGUUUAGUCCCCAACUUAGCCCAUAAACAUCUCCAAAAGUGGCUAAGAAAUUUAGUAUCACGAUCUGAAACAAUAGUAUUUGGCACACCAUGCAAACGAAUAAUUUCACGGAAGAACAAAUCAGCAACAUUAACAACAUCAUCGCUUUUAUGACAUGGUAUAAAGUGUGCCAUUUUUGAGAAUCUAUCCACAACAACAAAUAUGCUAUCCCUCCCCUUCUUUGUUCGAGGUAAACCUAAAACAAAGUCCAUAGAUAUAUCCUCCCAAGGAACACUAGGUACAGGCAAAGGCAUAUAUAAACCAUGAGGAUUGAGUCGUGACUUAGCUUUUUGACAUGUAGUGCAGCGAGCAACAAAACGCUCAACAUCCCGUCUCAUCUUUGGCCAAAAGAAAUGUGUCGCAAGUACGUCCUCCGUCUUCUUCACGCCAAAGUGUCCCAUUAAUCCUCCUCCAUGCGCCUCCUGCAACAACAAAAGACGAAGAGAGCUAGCUGGAAUGCAUAGCUUGUUAGCACGGAACACAAAUCCAUCAUUAACGACAAACUUGUUCCAGGUUCUUCCUUCUUUACAAUUCUGCAAAACAUCUUUAAAAUCAGCAUCAUGCACAUAUUGAUCUUUGAUGGUCUCCAAACCAAAUAUUUUGAAGUCAAGUUGUGAAAGCAUAGUAUAGCGACGAGACAAUGCAUCAGCAAUAACAUUUUUUUACCCUUCUUGUGUUUAAUGACAUAAGGGAAAGUUUCAAUAAAUUCAACCCAUUUAGCAUGUCUACGAUUCAGUUUAGCUUGACUUUUAAUAUGUUUCAAAGAGUCAUGAUCAGAAUGUAUAACAAAUUCUUUGGGCCAUAAAUAAUGUUGCCAUGUUUCUAAAGUCCGAACAAGAGCAUAUAGUUCUUUAUCAGAAGUAGAAUAAUUCAGACUAGGCCCACUCAAUUUUUCAGAAAAGUAUGCAACAGGUUUGCCAUCUUGUAAUAACACACCUCCUAAUCCAAUUCCACUAGCAUCACAUUCAAGCUCAAAAGUCUUACUAAAAUCAGGAAGUUGGAGUAAAGGAGCAUGUGUCAACUUAUCUUUCAAUACCGUGAAGGCUUCUUCCUGUGUGGUACCCCAAACAAAAGGCACAUCCUUCUUUGUAAGGUCGUUGAGAGGUGCAGCAAUGGUGCUAAAAUCUCUCACAAAACGCCUAUAGAAACCAGCGAGUCCAAGAAAACUCCGCACUUGUGUGACCGUUUUGGGCUGCGGCCAACUCUCAAUAGCUUCGAUCUUGGCUUUAUCAACUUCAAUUCCCUGUGGAGUAACAACAUAGCCAAGAAAAGAUACUCGGUCGGUGCAAAAGGUGCACUUCCCAAGGUUACCAAACAAACGUGCAUCACGUAGAGCAAUAAAAACAACACGUAAAUGCUCCAAAUGUUCUUCCAAAGAUUUGCUAUAAAUCAGUAUAUCAUCAAAAUAGACUACCACAAAUCGUCCAAUGAAAGCACGUAAAACUUUGUUCAUUAGUCUCAUGAAAGUAUUAGGUGCAUUAGUUAACCCAAAAUGCAUGACUAACCACUCAUAUAAACCAAACUUAGUUUUAAAUGCAGUUUUCCAUUCAUCUCCCAAUUUCAUACGAAUUUGAUGGUAUCCACUACGCAAAUCAACUUUGGAGAAUAUUGUAGAGCCACUCAAUUCAUCAAGCAUAUCAUCUAGCCUAGGAAUAGGAUGACGAUAACGAAUAGUAAUAUUAUUAAUGCCUCUACAAUCAACACACAUACGCGACGUACCAUCCUUUUUAGGCACUAGUAUAAUAGGAACAGCACAAGGACUAAGAGAUUCGCGUAUAUAACCUUUGUCGAGCAGCUCCUGUACUUGACGCAUAAUCUCCUUCGUCUCCUCUGGAUUGGUACGGUAUGGUGCACGGUUGGGUAGCGAUGCACCGGGAAUUAAAUAAAUUUGAUGCUCAAUCCCUCGAAUAGGUGGUAAUCCCGGUGGCACGUCUUGUGGGAAGACGUCAGCGAACUCCUGCAAAAUGUUAGUGACAGCAGGGGGCAAAGAGGAAGGCACGUCCUCGAAUGAAAAUAAUGCCUCUUUGCACACAAAAGCAUAGCAAACAGAUUUGUUAAAAUCUAGCUCACCAAUAUCAGAUUUUCUGGCAAGUAAACAUGCAUUUUUCAAUUUAUCAGAAACAACACUAGAUGGUUUAGUAUUAGGUUUCAUUUGUUGCUCAAAUUCUUUUGCCACAAUCUGAUUUUCACUCUUAUUUUUCUCCUGUUUUGCUUUAUUAGCUCUAUUAAUGUCAUCUUGCAAAAUGGAAUCAGGAGUCAUAGGAAGCAAAGUAAUAUUUUUAUCCUUAUGAACAAGAGUAUACUGAUUGUUUCUACCAUGGUGUACAGAAUUUUUAUCAAAUUGCCAUGGUCUACCAAGUAAUAAGGAACAUGCUUGCAUGGGUACCACAUCACAAUCAACAUAAUCAGCAUAUGUAGAGAUACUAAAAUGCACACAAACAGUACGUGUUGCCUUAACCUUGCCGCUGUUGUUGAACCAUUGCUUGUAGUAAGGAUGUGGAUGUGGUCUUGUGGUGAGAGAUAGCUUCUCCACCAUCUCCAUGCUAGCCAAGUUGUUACAGCUCCCUCCAUCUAUGAUGACGCGAACAGAACGUUCCUUCACAACUCCCUUUGUAUGGAACAAAUUAUGCCUCUGAUUUUGCUCUGCUUGUGUGACCUGCACACUCAAAACACGUUGAGCAACUAAACAUUCAUACCUGUCAGCGUCUUCAGGAGCCAUGUAUUGCGUCUCAUUUUCAGAAUCAUCUCCACCAUGUUCUUCACGUGUAAUAAGAGCCAAAGUCUCCUCAUCAUAGUCAUUAGCGGACUCAUACCCACCAUCCUCAGUAGCAAUCAUCACACGCUGAGAUUUGCAUUCUCUCGCAUAAUGUCCUCUUCCCUUACAACGACGACAAAUAAUAUCACUUGUGUGCCCUGUUGACGCCAUGGAAGAAGAAGAGCUCUGCGCAGGCCCGGUAGGUGUGCUCUUGGCAGAGAGUGGUGGUUGUGCCUGCUUUCUUGUAUCACGGCUGGAGGUGGCACCUGAUGGAGGUGAUGGUGAAGUGGAAGUAGAGGAUGCACGUGGUGUCCAUGAUGAAGGUCGAUCUGCAGAAAAGUUAGUUCGCGCCAAUGGCUGUCGAUCCUGCACUUCACGUUCAGCUUUACAAGCAAGAUGGAAUAAACGAGUGAUAUUAUUAUAAUCCUUAUACUCUAGAAUGGUCUGAAUCUCUUUAUUUAAUCCACCCAUAAAACGUGCAAGCAUAGCUUUAUUCUCCUCAACAAUACCACAUCUAAUCAUGCCAGUUUGUAAUUCCUGAUAAUAUUCUUCUACAGAAUUUUUCCCUUGUCUUAAGCGCUGCAAUUUUUGAAGUAAUUCACGUUGGUAAUAUGGUGGAACCCAACGAGUACGCAUAGCAGUUUUCAAAGCAGCCCAAGUAGCUGGAACAGGAUAUAAUCUACAAUGUUCAGACCACCAAACACAUGCAAAGCUAGUGAAAGCAAAAACAGCAGCAGGAACACAUCUCUCCUCAGGAUAUUGUAAACAUGUAAAUCGUUGUUCAGUUUCUAACUCCCAAGUAAGAUAUGUAUCAGGAACAUAUCUACCCUCAAAUGGUGGAAUAUUCAAUUUCAGUUUAGGGAGAUGGUCAUGAUCUCGUACCUGAGGUGGUGGUGCCGGCCUACCGUUGCGAAUAUAUACCUGAGGUCGACCUGCUGGUGGUGGUGCUGGUGGCUGCACGUAGUUCUGAUUUUGAUCAACCUCAUCCUCAUAAUCGCCCGCAUAAUCGUCAACCUCCUCAGCCGCCGCAGUAGCAGGAGCCAAAGAAGCAUCAACAGUAGGUGCAGCGGCACCCGAAUUUUGACCAGUCUCAAUUGGAACGCGCUGUGCUCGUCCCACUUGAUUUGGAAGGCGGCGUUGGAGAUGUGGUUGUUGUUGUUGUAGAGGUGCGACAUAUGCAGCCGGUGGUGUUUGGGGAAGACGCUUGAGUAAUUCAGUAAACUUGUUAUCCAGCUUUGUCUCGAACGACUUCUCCACGGCAUCUAUCUUCUCCAUAGCCUCUUCAAAUCUGUUUAGCACAUCUCCCACCUGCCACUCAUCAUUUGCUGAAAUUUAUCAUGCAACUCCUUGUUCGUCAUGUUCUCCCAAUCAGUCUCAUCGGCUUGUGAUCCUUCCAUGGUUAGCAGCAAUAGAAACACAAAAGAAUAUGAUCCUACAGACUACUAGGAAGUGGUGGUGAUGGUGGUGUGUCACAAAUCCUUCAAACGAAUCUCAAAUUCUUACCAGUUCUUACCCAGCAGCAGGUGGUGAUCGGCAACCGUUGUAGUCAAAACUCUCAAAGCUUGGAUAGAGCGAUUACCAGGGAGAGUCAAGCGCACGAUGUAGAUGUAUGUGGAGCUGGGAAGGCUUAUAAUAUGGUAGCAAAAAUGGUCAGCAAUAAUCAAUUCAGAGAUGCAAAGUUGAAUAAACGCUCAACGACGGUACUGUGCUGGUCCUAGGCUAGACCGUGCUAGAGACGCGAGCCUAGAACACUAACAGAAUCACGGCGCUGCACGUAAACAAGGGAAAAGCACACUCUGGAAUUUUUUUUUUGCUCUUUUUUUUUGCGCUCCUCAUUUUUUUUGCGAAAAAUCAGUAUAAUGGCGAGUGUCUCAAAACUCUUCCCAGGUCAAACUGACAGGAUAGGCACAAAAUUUUUUUGACUAUUUUUUUCGGAAAUCAGGGCAGCGACGACGAAAAAGUGCGUCAAAAAAUCACUAUGAUGGCGAGUGUCUCAAAACACUCCCCGUGACCUAAAAAUAGGAUAGGGAAAAAUAUUUUUGGUCGCCGAAAUUUUUGGUCGCGCUCUUUUUUUUCUGAGACCUACUCAGGCAAGGAAACAUGAAACGAAAAAGAGAUGGAUCUCUAAAACAAACCGAAUAUGACAAGAACUCGGAUUUGUGGUGGAUAUAUGGUGGUAGGAUAUGGCAGCGGUGGUGGUAUAUGGUAGCGGUGGUGGUAUAUGGAUAUGGAUCGGUGGUGGUAUAUGGAUACGGAUUGGUGGUGGUAUAUGGAUACGGAUUCAGAGCGGUGGCGGAUAAGCAAUGGUGGUAGAUGGCAAGGCGAUGAUGAUGGUGCGGCGGCGGCGUGACAACUUAUGACCAGAACUCGAAACUCUAAAAGACUAGACUCUAAGACCAGCAACUUGACACGACGAUGCAACCGCAAAUUCAACAAAGCAAAAACCCUAAAAAGAUUAUGCAAAGGCUCAGAUUGGUUCGGAUAUGAUGAACUAACCCUAAUUUUUUUGUGGCUUUUUCAUGGACUGUAGGUAUGAAGAACAGACUCGAUCUAAACUACGAAAAACUGUAAAAUCUCACCGAGCAACCUGGAAAUCUGAUACCACUUGAUAGAGGCAAAGGUGUCCCGUCUUUCGAUGAGAUGAUGGAUAUCGCUUUGGUGGAAGUCGACUUUGACGAUCCGACUACGAACGUGCGAUGACGUCGCGCCUUAGCAAUCGCUAAACCAACUCCGAGAGGUUAUUGACCACGCCGGAGCACGAUUAACCUGACCACGAGGGUCUGUUUCCUGCGAGCAAACGAAGAACAAGCAAGAAACUGAGAUUGCAAUCUGGAUAUUGCGAAUAUAAGAUGAAAGCUUUAUUGAUCAAGGUGGGGUUCUGUGACGCCUUUGUCUGGUCGUUGAACACAAACGAAGUACGCGAAGUUGCAGCUAUGGCGAACUUUUAAUCUAAACAAAACCCAAAGUCUAAACGACGCCCUAAGGGCUGUAUAUAUGGAGGAAGAGGGGGAAUUUCGUGGCCCUUGGGGAAGGGGUCCGAAACCAACCCUAUCUCUUGUUUCCCCACACAUACGGACUCUAAAAAUAGCCUAUACUCAAGUAUUUCGAAAUUACAUGGGCCUGGCCCAAUAAUAAGGGGACGCAGCACCUAGAAUAGCCUCUGGACGAAAGUUAUGAAGUAGCAUCUUGUAUAUUUCAUCCAAGGCUUCAUGCACGCAUUAUGGUGGCUUCAAUGUCCUGAAAUCAUCACUUGUAACUCCGUUCUUGUCCCCCAUGCGCAUGCCAUCAUCUCCAUGCUUGUUCUUGCUCCAAUGUUCAUCCUUCUCAAAGCUAGGCCCUUCAUUUGUAAGCAAAACAAAUGUAUCCAAUUUAGGCAGCAUCAUAUUCUCAUGAACAUUAGAAUCAUUACCAAGAAACGAAAGUACCUGGUAAUUUAAUUGGCGUGCGCGAGCUCUAGUAAUUGGUCUAGUAUGUAUAGCAGCAGGGGCUGUGGGUGUAACCAUGGUAUUGAUGUCCUCAUCACAACGGCUAACCAAAAUGGUUUGAAAAAACAUAUUUGUGUACUUGUGUGCAAGUUAAUUCCAUGUGCAGUAAAUUAGAAGGAAUUUUCAAACAUAUUUGUCUCACGACAUGGACACAUGCAUAUGUAUGCAUGGAGUGACAUGGCAUUUUAAUUCCAAAAAAUUAAAAAAAUAUCACAAACACAUGAAACCUUGGUUGAUGUAAUGUCAUGCCACCAAGAUGAUGUGGUAAAAAAUUGGCAUGUUUGACAAAAGUUGGACACAAACCCCUCACAAACCAGAGCAACUCACUAGAAGGCUCGUGGUUCCGAAAGGGAACAAUGCAUGUUUGAUGACGAACGGGAGAUAGCUUCCUCUAAGGACCUUCAUUUUUUCUACAUCUAACAUGCACUACUACAACUGGAAUGUGAAAUUUUGCAAAAUUCUAGGGGUCAUUUGACCUUUUAAAGACAUUUAAGUGUUUUCCUAGCCAUUUAAUGACCGUAAUUCAAUUUUGAACUGCAUCUACAUGCAACUGCUAAUCAAAACGGUUUGAAAAAUCAUAUUUGUGUACUUGUGUGCGAGUUAAUUCCAUGUGCAGUAAAUUAGAAGGAAUUUUCAAACAUAUUUGUCUCACGACAUGGACACAUGCAUACGUAUGCAUGGAGUGACAUGGCAUUUUAAUUCCAAAAAUUAAAAAAAUGAGAAACACAUGAAACUUGGUUGAUGUAAUGUCAUGCCAACAAGAUGAUGUGGUAAAAAAAUUGCAUGUUUGACGAAAGUUGGACACACACCCCUCACAAAUCGGAGCAACUCACUAGUAGGCUCGUGGUUCCGAGAGGGAACAAUGCAUGUUUGAUGACGAACGGGAGAUAGUUUCCUCUUACGACCUUCAAUUUUUUUUCUACGUCUAACAUGCACUACUACAACUGUAAUGUGAUAUUUUGGAAAAUUCUAAGGGGUCAUUUGACCUUUUAAAGACAUUUAAGUGAUUUUCUAGCCAUUUAAUGACCGUAAUUCAAAUUUGAAAUACAUCUACAUGGAACGGCUAACCAAAACGGUUUGAAAAAUCAUAUUUGUGUACUUGUGUGUGAGUUAAUUCCAUGUAAAUUAAAUUAUAAGGAAUUUUCAAACAUAUUUGUCACACGAGAUGGACACAUGCAUACGUAUGCAUGGAGUGACAUGGCACUUUAAUUCAAAAAAUUUUAAAAAAUAUCAGAAACACAUGAAACCUUGGUUGAUGUAAUGUCAUGCCACCAAGAUGAUGUGGUAAAAAUGGCAUGUUUGACGAAACUUUUGACAAAAACGCUUCACAAACCGGAGCAACUCACUAGAAGGCUCGUGGUUCCGAGGGGGAACAAUGCAUGUUUGAUGACGAACGGGAGAUAGCUUCCUCUUACGGCCUUCAAUUUUUUUCUAUGUUUAACGUGCACUACUACAAAUGUAAUGUGAAUUUUUGGAAAAGUCUACAUGCAACGCCUAAUUAAAACGGUUUGAAAAAUCAUAUUUGUGUACUUAUGUGCGAGUUAGUUCCAUGUGUAGUAAAUUAGAAGGAAUUUUCAAACAUAUUUGUCUCGCGACAUGGACACAUGCAUAUGUAUGCAUGGAGGGACAUGGCAUUUUAAUUUGAAAAAAUUAAAAAAAUAUCAGAAACACAUGAAACCUUGGUUGAUGUAAUGUCAUGCCACCAAGAUGAUGUGGUAAAAAAUUGGCACGUUUGACGAAAGUUUGGACACACACCCCUUACAAACCGGAGCAACUCCUAGAAGGCUCGUGGUUCCGAGAGGGAACAAUGAAUGUUUGAUGACGAACGGGAGAUAGCUUCCUCUUACGGCCUUCAAUUAUUUUCUACGUCUAACGUGGACUACUACAACUGUAGUGUGAAAUUUUGGAAAAUUCUAGGGGUCAUUUGACCUUUUAAAGACAUUUAAGUGAUUUUCUAGCAAUUUAAUGACGGUAAUUCCAAUUUGAACUACAUCUACAUGCAACGGCUAACCAAAAGGGUUUGAAAAAUCAUAUUUGUGUACUUGUGUGCGAGUUAAUUCCAUGUGCAGUAAAUUAGAAGGUAUUUUCAAAUAUAUUUGUCUCGCGACAUGGACACAUGCAUAUGUAUGUAUGGAAUGACAUGGCAUUUUAAUUCGAA
rnacentral:lncRNA from 1 species